rnacentral:rRNA from 1 species
AGAGUUUGAUCCUGGCUCAGAGCGAACGCUGGCGGCGUGCUUAACACAUGCAAGUCGAACGCGCAGCAUUCUGUAGCAAUACAGGGUGUGGGCGCGUGGCGAACGGGUGCGUAACACGUGGAUAACCUUCCUUCAGGUGGGGAAUAACCCCGCGAAAGCGGGGCUAAUACCGCAUAACAUGACGAUGCCACAUGGUGUUGUCUUCAAAGCCGCAAGGCGCCAGAAGAGGGAUCCGCGGCCGAUUAGCUUGUUGGCGAGGUAAUGGCUCACCAAGGCAUUGAUCGGUAGCCGGACUGAGAGGUUGGCCGGCCACACUGGAACUGAGACACGGUCCAGACUCCUACGGGAGGCAGCAGUGGGGAAUCUUGCACAAUGGACGAAAGUCUGAUGCAGCAACGCCGCGUGGGGGAUGAAGCUUUUCGGAGUGUAAACCCCUUUCGACCCGGAAGAAUGCCCGCAAGGGCUUGACGGUACGGGUAUAAGAAGCCCCGGCUAACUACGUGCCAGCAGCCGCGGUAAUACGUAGGGGGCCAGCGUUGCUCGGAAUUACUGGGCGUAAAGGGUCCGUAGGCGGUGUGGCAAGUCGGGAGUGAAAUCUCUGGGCUUAACCCAGAGGCUGCUUCCGAAACUGCCAUGCUAGAGUGUGAGAGAGGCGAGUGGAAUUACGGGUGUAGCGGUGAAAUGCGUAGAUAUCCGUAGGAACAUCCGAGGCGAAGGCGGCUCGCUGGAUCACAACUGACGCUGAGGGACGAAAGCUAGGGGAGCAAACAGGAUUAGAUACCCUGGUAGUCCUAGCCCUAAACCAUCAGGACUUGGGGUGUGCCCUGUACGGGGCACGUCCCGUAGCUAACGCGUUAAGUCCUGCGCCUGGGGAGUACGGUCGCAAGGCUGAAACUCAAAGGAAUUGACGGGGGCCCGCACAAGCGGUGGAACAUGUGGUUCAAUUCGACGCAACGCGAAGAACCUUACCUGGGCUUGAACCCGCACAGGACCAUCU